rnacentral:rRNA from 1 species
UACGAAGGGUGCAAACGUUGCUCGGAAUUAUUGGGCGUAAAGGGCGCGUAGGCGGUCUGUUAAGUUCGGUGUGAAAUCCCCCGGCUCAACUGGGGAAUUGCACGGGAAACUGCGGGGCUUGAGUUCGGGAGAGGGAAGCGGAAUUCCGGGUGUAGCGGUGAAAUGCGUAGAUAUCCGGAGGAACACCGGUGGCGAAGGCGGCUUCCUGGACCGACACUGACGCUGAGGCGCGAAAGCUAGGGGAGCAAACGGG